GAAAAACCCGGAUAUAUAAUCUCUCCCUAUAUAUUCUGUGUGCAUUGAGGUAGGCUCAACACCCCCAGGGACCUGGUGCAGACCUGGAGCCUGUUUCACACGACUGCUACUUGAAGGGAAAAAAGGAGCAAAUGAUACCAAGACAAGCUCAUAACAGAGAUCUAAUCAGCAGAUGUGUACGGAUGAAAAUACAGUGAGAUGAGUCAAAAAACGACUAAGGAGGGUCCCAGACUCUCCAAGAACCAGAAGUUUUCAGAGCACUUCAGCAUACAUUGCUGCCCGCCAUUCACCUUCCUCAACUCCAAACGUGAGAUCGUGGAUCGGAAAUACAGCAUCUGUAAAAGUGGCUGCUUCUACCAGAAGAAAGAAGAGGACUGGAUCUGCUGUGCCUGCCAGAAGACCAGCACCAGCCGCCGUGCAACGUCCCCUCAGAGGCCCAAGCACCAGCCAGCUGCACCCCCCGCCGUGGUCAGAGCGCCGGCCAAGCCACGGUCCCCUCCGGCCAAGCCACGGUCCCCUCCGAGGUUCGAGCGUCAACCACGCCCCCGCCCAGAGGUCCGACCACCACCAGCCAAGCAGCGCCCCCCUCAGAAGUCCAAGCAGCCGCCGCGCAGCAGCCCCCAGAGAGGGCCAGGCACCAGCCGUGGGGGGUCCCCCAUCAAAGCUUCUAGGUUCUGAUUGAAAAGGAGGACCAAGACUACCCCACGGAAAAAGUGAGGGAGGACUUUCAAGUGAAUGGGCCACCUCAGGACCUGGACUCACUGCUUCUUGACCCACGUGCCUUUGGGCAAGUUAUCCAGCUUCCAAUAUGAUGCGGGCGCAGACACCUGCUGAUGUGGCAACUGCCAAUGCCCACAGUCCCCUUGGUUCAUGGGCUGCCAGGCAGCCUGCCUGGAGCCUUGUGAAGAUAACACCCUAUUGUCUUCUGACCUCUGUCACUGCCAAUGAGAAAUAUGUUGUCAGUCUACUUGUCCUUCCAUUUCUUAUUUUUAUUUAUUUUGCUUAGGAUUCAAGUUUCUUCAAUCUGAAGAUAUAUAUCUUUCUUCAGGGAUCCACACAAAAAAGAUAUUGUUGUAUAACCAUCAUAAUGACAAAAUUUAAAAAUUAUCAGUGUUGGCAAAGAUUUGGGAAAAAUUCUGAUAAGCCACUGAUGAAAAUUUAUAAAGUAUUAUAACACUUCUGGGGUGCAAUCUGGGUAUGCUAGCAAAAGAGGAUAUUGUAUAACUUAUGAUCAAGCAAUUAUAACUUUAGGUACCAAUCCUGGAGAAAACUUGCAUUCAUAGGAAAAGGAGGCACAGAUACAUCUAUUCAGUGAAGCAUUGUUGGCUAUUGGAAAACAAAAGAGAGAAAGAGAAAGAAAUUAAUAAAAAUGUCCACUAACAAAAUGAGUAAAUCAACAAUGGUAUAUUCAUAAAAUAAAAUCCUUAACAAAACAAAAACAAAUGAAUCACAUAUACCUACACCAGGUAGACAAAUUUGUAAGACAAAUGAGGAAUAUAAAAAGCAAAUAGUAGAUGGUAAAUGCAAUCUGAUGCCUUAUGCGUGUAUUUUAACCACGCACAAUACUGUAAUUUGGCAAUAAGCAGAAACCAUGACAUCUCAAAUGCUCUCUAUAAUGGAAUAGAAUUAAAAAAUGACAACAAAAUGAAAGCCUAUCCAAGAAAUAUCUAUCCCCCUGGAAAUCAGUAGGAAGAUUUGAAAUAAUUCCUGCUUUGAAGAAGUAACAGAAAUGAAAAGCUAUAUAGAAAUGGUCAACAAUAUUAGCCAGACACAAAUGUGUAUGGAUGAAUAAGUGGGAGACUAAUAAUUAGCCUGGGGGUCUCUCCAAGGUUACAUGUCUUAGAAAACAGAACCCUUGCUCAUUUUGGACCUGGGUUGUGCUAUGGCUUCAGCAGGUUUCUGACAUGUGGACAAAGGACUAGAGUUAGAAUAUACCAACCCUCCUAACCUUCCUGUAGUAAUAGGUAGGAAAGCACAGUAGAAGAUAAUGGAAUGUUGUAGAAUGUGGAGGGAUGUAAAAUGGGCAGUAUUAGUAGAGGGAAGCUCAGAGUACAGGAAAGCAAGGGCAUCCGAAGCAGUCUUGUGCUGGGGGUUGGGUGGCCAAGCACAGGCAGAUGCCUGAAGCUGUAACAAGGCCCUGGCUCUGUGUCUUUGAGUGAGCACCACCAGACCCAGCCAAGUUUAAAAGGUAAGUGGGAAUAUGGGGCAAUGCCAGAGAAAGUCUGCUCAAGGUGGGGCUGGGGAGAGAGGGAAGACAGAGAGUAGGGAAGAAGAAUGCUAGACUCAGGUGCGAUUCAGCUCAGAAGGCCAUACCUCCGCAAAGCGGAAUCAGGCCAAAUACUGUCCCAAGGUAGCUGGAAGGUGGGGCCAGAGCAUCUGGCUUCUUUACUUGGGGAGGCCGCUUCUCUGGGCAAGUGGCAAUAAAAAGGCAGGGGAAUUGAACUACACAGAGCCUUCAUGUAGAAAUGUUUCUCCUGCCUAAACUCAGGUGCUAAAUGAACAACAAAAUGAGAACCUCUAUUAUGAACACUUUUUAAUGAUGAAAUAUGUGAGGCUGUUACAUUUCUGGGAAUGACACUGGGGCUCCAUAACAGACCACUAGAAAGAACAAAUUAGUGAGCUAGUCCCACUCAGACCCAAUAAGGAAACUCAAUAUUCCUUCCACCCGUUUUGGAUUUUGGCAAAACCAGACUUCAUACUCAGAGCUCUAUCCUCCAGAUAGAUACACUCAGAAGAUAGCUAUUAUGAAAUGCAAAAUUGAGAAGGAAAGAGCAUGGUAGUACUAAUGCAUGUAAAAAAUUGGAUAUUAGCAUGGAAAUGUUAAUAAGUAGAAAUUACUGAAUUCUCUGUGUAUGUCUGUUGUGGAAAUAAAAGCCCUGGGGAUGGAUCAAAAAUAUCUGGAAAUUACUUGAAACUGGUGGAUAACUAAAUGGAUAUUUUAACUAAAAUGUGCUAUAAUCCAAUUGUAUUUUUUUUUUUUUGUCUUCUAAGGUUUGGUUCUGGCAAGCACUAUGCAGUGAAUAUUGCAAAAAUUACAUAAAGCUCCAAAAGCUAUUCUAUGUAAACUUCUUAAGUGGGGAUUCUUGACCAUAAUAUUUGGCAUAAUAACUCUGAUAAUUCUGUAUGUUAAUGGGUUUUAUGUUCUGAUAUUUUGACUGGUUUGGGAAAAACGGAGUUGACCCAAAGCAGAACUCAGAGUUGUCCUGGUAAAUGCUUAACAAUCGACUUUUUGGGUGGAAAGCCCUGAUCCAUAGUGUUUGUCAAUUUCCAUGACUUAAACACUUUCACUAUGGCUGAUUGCAGGCUGUGAGAGUGACGUCACUGAGAGCAGAAUCAGGGAUGAUGUAUGCAGCCGACCCUUGUAAGUUGGUGUACCCACUUGUACCCAUGGGCAUUUGUGAAAUUGCAGUUUUUUUUACUAAAAAUUCUGCCCCAUAGAUAUACAAAGGCACUAGUGGAAGAACAAAUACAAAGGGAAAAUAAAAUAAAUUCAAAUUGGGAGCUCAAAGGGAGAUAAUUGACAGUGGAUUUUUUUUUCAAUUUUAAGAAGUGGUAUUUGUGUAUUAUUUGCAUUGUACUAUUAUCUUUUUUUAUGCAAACAAGGUAUCAAUGUAUCACACUGAGUGCUCUGAACUCUGAAUUUCUUUGGUGUUCCCCUAGACAAAGGCUAGGACUGUUUCCCUUCCAGAUAUUGGUGUGAAGGCAAUGCUGAUCAAAAAAUUGAUGGAACCUGUACACUAUGGAGCCAGUUUCAGGAUGGCUGAGCUUAUGGUCAAGACAGAAGAAAAGAUAUGGAGCUUUCUGAAUUUGGGGGAGGCAACACUGAUAUUUAGACCCAUGGUUUGUUAUGAUAAUACAGCCUUUUUUUUAAAAAAAAAUUAACAUUAAUGAAAACAAGGAAAAUUAGUUGUUGAAUAAUUGAAAUGGAUUAAUAAACUCUUCUAUCAGAGUAAGGCAAGAGGAACUUAUUCAAAUGGAGGUGAAUUGGAAAUAUCAAUAAGAAUUCUGAACAUUUUUUAAAGGAGAGUUUAUCUGUUCAUCCCUACAGUGAUUCAUGCUGUUGGACAUUUUUGCUAUCAUCCUUCAAAAUUCCAGUCAGUAUGUGAAACAAGCUUAUUUGUAGAACUAGUGCCUGUGAUUUCUAAAACCAUUCUCUAGUGAAAGACAAUGCCCUUGGAGAAGAGUUGAUUUCAUAUUUCUGGGCAUUGGGGGAAAAAAAGCAACAUUAGUUUGUGGUCCUAGGUGUUGAAAGAGGUGUCAGUGAGCUGUAAGUCCAUAACGAUAUAAAAAAGAUAUAACAAAUUUACCUGAAAAACAUAUCUGAUUUCUGAAAUUUUUUACUUAAAAAACUAUAUAUUGAUUAAUACAAAUCAUGUGAGGCCUACACUUAAGUUUUAUAACCAACAGUUUGAAAAUGCCAGAUCCUGUUUUUCCCUAUAAAGAGAAGGACCUGUAGCAGGACACAGUCAGAAAUGGUAUCACACAUUAUCAAUAUUCCAAAAAUCUCUGUGAAGUGUGAUUUAUUUGAUUAGCCAAGGAUGCCAGUGGAUUGAAAGAACCAGGAUGUCUGGUUAUUCCAGGGAUGACCUUUAAGAGUUGUUGCUCUUAUCUUUCUAGCAGUAAAUCACAAUCUUAAGUAUUACUGGCAGUGGUUGCACUGUGGACAGAGGCAUCCCCUGAAAGCUGUGCUGAGUUUUAUCAACUGGCCAGCACAUGUGCCCUAUUGCAAAUUAUGUCAUGUUGGCUAUGGCCAUUUAUUUAAUAAUGAUUUACUUUGCACAGGCAGGGGCUUUGCAUCCUAUCUCUUUAUUGUUUUUAUUACUAUGUGGCUGUGUGCCUCAGAUGGCCAAUCAGAACCAGCUUCUCUACCUUCAGUAGACCUGACUAGGACUCACCCCAAGGGGAGAAAAUCCUACAGGUGUCAGAAAAUGUUAAAUGGACACUGAUGAAAAAAAUUUUGAGUGGGCAAUCUCAAACAAGAAAAGCAUGGUGGUGAAAAAGUAUCAAAGGUAUUUAAAAAGUAAAAAGAAAAUGAUAAAAAAUAAAGGGAAAAUAUGCCACAGAAUGUGAAUUUUAACUGAACUUUAAUUUCUAAGAUUUUAAAAUUAAAAAAGUAAGGGCACCUGGCUGGUCUAGUUGGAGGACCAUGAAACUCUUGAUAUCAGGGUUGUGAGUUAGAACUCCACAUUGGGUGCAGAGAUUACUUAAAUAAAUAAAGCUUUAAAAAAUAAAUAAAAUGAAAGAAGCAAAAGAAAUAAGUGAAGGAACAGAAAAUAGAAUGAUAAGGAGUAAGUUUGGUCAUAAAUAUAUAGGAAAAAAUGUUUGUGCUAAAACCCACCAAAAGCCAAAAGUAAGUGGGAAAUGGGUCAAUAUAAUGCCAGUUGAUGUCUGUAAGAAUGAAAGGUAUGAUAAAACAAGUGAAGAAAAGGUCAUUUAGCAACAAGUUAUUGCCUAUGACAGCAUCCUGUUCCUUGCAAAAUUUGUAUCUUAGACUUACACUAUGGUUUAUGCAAAAUUGGAAUAAAACCAACUAACAAUAGACAUCAACAACGGAUAGCACAAUGCCCAACAUAUGCAAGUAGGAGGUCAAACCGCUUUCCUCAAAGGAGGUGGUGGUGGAGGUGUGCUUUGAGCAAGAAGUCGGCAGCUCCGUGGGACAGUCUGAUGGAGGUGUGGUAGAGGUACUUGGUGGAAACUCAGUGAGAUUUAGGGAGGAGUAAGGAAAAGAGGGUUUUGGCCUUGUAUAACACAUGAAUUCAAAGGUAAGGGGCUUCAAGCCUGUCAGCAGUGCCGAUGGUCAGCAUCAAUUACUUGGGAUUGCCAGGUUUGCCCUGCUUGGUCUUCUCUGCUCUGGGGGUCACUGUGAGGGUUAUAAAUCAAUUGGAAUUCAGAGUAAAGAAAAGAGCCUACUGCUCUAACCAAACUGUCCUUGUUCCCGAGGGACCCCUUUGUAUCCCGAGAGGAUAUAAAAGGAGGCUGUCAGUAUAUAAACAUCCUUCCCUUACUGGCUCUAAAGAUCCAGUCAUAGAGUUUGUGGCAAUACAGGGGAUACUGCUUUGGACUCCACUGAACAUCUGCUGCCUGGAUGUAUGAUAAAAAAGAAAAAAAAAAAGAUAAAUCCAGAAGGUUCUAUCUCCAGGCCUUUGGUAAGCAGGAAAAACAGGACCUUUGCAGAUGGUGAACACCAGCUUGAAGAGAAGACUGAUGUUUCAAGAAGGCUUUUGUGGUAAUUGCUGAGGAAGGCUGCGUGGUCAGCCCUACUGUGAACACUCAGAAAAACUUAGGGGUAUUUCCUUCACAAGGUGGGGAUUGGAGUCGUUUUGGAGCAGAAAUAUAAAUGUUAUCUCCUUUCUCCAGUCAUAGGCUGGUGACUCCAUAGUUCAAAUAAGGUUCCAUUUACAAAUUUACUCAUUCCUACUGUAAUACCCUACUUUUCUUGCUUUGCUUCCUUAUUCAUACUGAAUGGAUUUUUAUCAUAUAGUUUUUGUAGGAGCAAAGGGGAAGAUAAUCCACUUCCAUGGAAUUAGUUUCCUUGCAAAGUCUGCAAUAGAUGUUCAUUGUACCCUAGAACUCAGCCAUUGAGAAGGUUCCAGAGGCGGAUCCAGCACAAGAGUGGAGGGGUUGAAUGCUUCAUACUAAAGAGAAUGCAAAUAUAGACACCUGUAACUUCUGUCUGUGAGCUGGGAGCCAUAACACAGGGGUAGGAUAGAAUAUGAUGGAGUCUCCAUGGGGAGACUCUUGGAGCAGGGAAGAAGCAGAAAGGUGUCCCAGACCAUGGCUCAGAGCUGCCCUAGGAACAGGGGAUGCUGCUGAGGAAAUGGAAGUUUCUGAAGCUGGUCUACUGGGUGGAGCUUACACUUGUUCACAGAUUCUUAAGUAUAAACCAACUCAGCAUACACUGGACAUUGUUAAAUGUUUAUUCACAACUAGUAAUGCUCUAAGUGUGUUUUUUAGAAUAAACUGAUUUUUUCCCAUGCCUGGCCAGCCACUUACCCAUCAGCACAGACCAUAUAGACACGUUUCCACCCUUCCACUGACAUGUGUUAAAGAUUUAUUGAGCUAUGACCUAUUAGGUAUUUCAUAAGAUAAUGUUAUCUGAUUUAGUCAUAAUGCAGUUCUUUAAACACUAUCAUAUUUUAGGUGAGAAAAAAUUAGUUUCAAAGACUUACCCCAAAGUGACACAGCUGAUAUUUAGAAGAUCUGAAACUCUGACACUCAUACAAGCUCCACUUUUCAGCCCUCUUUUCCUGGUAAAUCUCAAUGAACGGACACUGCCUGGUGUCCCCCUCUGAGUCUGCCAGGCCUUGGGGGUCCUUCCCUCAGGGAUAGGUGAUACCUGCUGCUAUUGCCCCCUGCCCCAUGUAAGUGACCUGUUUGCUCCUAUAUGCUACUCCACACCUUACAUCCAGAUGGGGCAAGACCAAAGGUCAAAGGCAACAGCCUCAGAUGGAAUUUGUAUUGAGCAAAACUCUGGUUCUUACCCUUUCUGGCCUUGCUCCUGGUUUAUGCCAGAGCCUAAUUCCCCAAGGUGUGCUCUAUCAUCUUUCUCAUUUGUCUUAAUAAACAGUGGUCAUCAUUUAUUGAUUGUUUACCAUAUGCUAGACACUAAACUUUAGGUGUAUUUAAUUUUCAUGCAACCCUUUGAGACAUAUAGCUUUAUUAUCCAAGUUUUAUAGAAGAAGAAAGAGACCAGCCCAGAGACAUUAAUAAGUUGCACAAGACUCCAUAAUUAGUAAGGAAUGAAGCUGGGAUUUGAACCCAGCGGCCUAGAUCCUAGAUUUCUUGGCUUCUAUAUUGACCUGCCAUCCUGCUAGGUUCUUGAUUUUGCCAACUUGCUUGACUCCAGACACUGACCAUAGUUUUUCUUCCUGGUUGCAGCUCGAUGACUCACAGGUAAUGUAGGCUCCUUAGUCUCUGGUUAUGGUCCUGUGUUAUUUGAACAAAUAAAGUCCUUCAACUGAACACCUCCUGCCCCAGAAGCUUCUUGAGGCAUAAGGUAACACUGCCCAAGUAUUCUGGGUUUAACCUUUUGGAAAGUCAGUUAUUCCCCUGUGCCAACUUAGAUCUACUCCAGUGUUGAAAACCAAGACUAACCCAUGCCUUGAACUAUUUGCUGGAUAAACAUCUGCCUAGACUAUUUCCUACUUAUUAAAAGAUCUGCUGAAAUUCAAAUAGAAAAUGUGGGUUUAUUGUGUUUUGUGUCAGUCACAUGUAUUAUUUGUGCUAUACUAGGCUAAAGUGACAAACACAUCAUGACUAGUGGCUCAAAGACAAUCAAAAUUUGUGCCAUGGCUCAGAUGACAAUUUUGGGCAGGUAUGUGAAUCAGCUGGACUCCUCUCUUCCACACAGUUAUUUAAGGCCCUAGCAUAACAGAGGCUCUGCCAUCCUCAGUACAGGGCUUCUGAUGUCAUUAUAGUCAUGUCCUUCACAGUCAAGAAGAAGGAGGAAGGAGUAUGGAAGAUUUUCACAAGGAAGAUUUUCAUAGACCAAGUAGCACAUAUCUUGUGUAUUCACAUCCUACUGGGUGAAAUUAAAACAAAGGCCUCCAGCUGCAGGGAGGCUAGGGAGUGCAAGCUAAAUGCAUGCCCAAGAAGAAAACCUGAUUUUGGUAAACAGUAAACUAUUCUUACCACUUUCCACUCCUAAUAAGUAAUAGUCUAUACAUUCAUAGUUUAACUUUCUACUUCAGUUUGCUUUUCUGAAUUUUCCUGGACUCAACUUUUAUAUAUUUAUAGUUUUCUACUAUAUUGAGUGUGUCUGUUCUUUAAGUCUGUGGAAGGUGGCAGAAAAGAAAUUAAGUAAGUGAUUAAUAGGUCAAAGAAUGUACAGCGAAGUAUAAAAUCAUGCCUGUCAUAUAUGGAAGGGAAAAUGGGAAGAUAACAGGUUGUUUGGGUUUUGAAGAAAAGGCUACAUUUGGGUAACAUUUGCCAAGAUUUUAUAGGAGUGAAGUUGUACCAUGAACGUUGUUCACUUCUUUAUUGGUAUUUCUAUCAUUGUAAUCUGGAUAACCUGAUACCCUUCAUGUGAGCAGGCCCAUUAUAGGUGUAGAUGACUGAGAAAGCAGACAUUCAUGCUUACCUGGAAUUCUACUUACGGAUAUUUUCAUGCAGAUAGAGCAAAUUAAAACCAUUAUAUUUAUAAACAUUUCAUA